UGGGGAAUUUUGGACAAUGGGCGAAAGCCUGAUCCAGCAAUGCCGCGUGUGUGAAGAAGGCCUUCGGGUUGUAAAGCACUUUUGUCCGGAAAGAAAUGGCUCUGGUUAAUACCUGGGGUCGAUGACGGUACCGGAAGAAUAAGGACCGGCUAACUACGUGCCAGCAGCCGCGGUAAUACGUAGGGUGCAAGCGUUAAUCGGAAUUACUGGGCGUAAAGUGUGCGCAGGCGGUCCGCUAAGACAGAUGUGAAAUCCCCGGGCUUAACCUGGGAACUGCAUUUGUGACUGGCGGGCUAGAGUAUGGCAGAGGGGGGUAGAAUUCCGACGUGUAGCAGUGAAAUGCGUAGAGAUGUGGAGGAAUACCGAUGGCGAAGGCAGCCCCCUGGGCCAAUACUGACGCUCAUGCACGAAAGCGUGGGGAGCAAACAGGAUUAGAUACCC
rnacentral:rRNA from 1 species